UGGCUCAAUAAUUGGUUUAUAUAGAGAAUUGUAGGAGGGAUGAAGGGUUGGAGUAAGACAAGACAGGGUCACAUCUGGGUGGAAGACAAAGAAGGAAGAUCAUGGAGAUUCUGCUUCCAUCCAAUUCAAUCCUACCUCAAAAGACAAAGAAUAAAGAUCAAGGACUUUUGCUUAUCCUGACUCCGACUGAUUCUAAGGUAUCCAGGAUACAAAUGUGGUCAUCACACUCAAGAACAAAGGACAGCAACCAAUCACUACUACCACUAUUCCUCCCACCCUCACCACUAUUAUUAGUCCCACUACUACAACUUCUACCACCAUUGUUACACUUCAUCACACACUUAUUAUCUUGGGUACCAUAAUCUGUCUGGACACACCUCGAUCAAUACGGCAGAAAAGGAAACUGAGUUGUCAAAAGAAAAGUCAUCGGGGAGAAUUAAGUGCUGCUCCUUGAAAAAUUAGGUUAUCAUCAAGGAGAAACAAGUAAGAAAAUGAAUGAGGAGCUAAAGGGGAAGUCUUACCUAGGUCAAGAGGUUGAUGGGUUGAAGAAUGGUACACAGAAGAAAAGGAAGGAAGGCAACUGAAUGUGGAACUAAGCAAUCGGUCUGUGACACUACCUGCAGAGCAGAGGUUGGCUCUUAACCCUUUUUAUGCCAUAGACUUCUUUGGCAAUCUGAUGAAGGCAUUGGACAUUUUUUCAGUCAUGUUUAGAAAUAAUUGAAGAAAAGGUUAAAUUUCAAUUAAAGAUCAGUGAAGAGAGAGGUAAAAACAAUUUCCCAUUUAAGUUCAUCCCCCAGGAAAAUUUAUGUAUGGAUUCCUUGGGGUUCCAUGGACCCCAGGUUAAGAAAUCCUACUAUGGAAAGAAGAAUGGGACUGUCUCUGUCUAAAGCAAUCUCUUAUAACUCAAGAGGGGAAAAAGCUAGCUCCCUACAUGCCAUCUGAUCAUACAAAGUGAAAGGAGAGAAGUACAGCUUACUAAAUGGUAAUGAGUAAUUAUCUGUCAAUAUAGCAUAAGCCAUGAAAAAGGUUUUUGUCUCCUUAAACAUGUAUCUGUAUGUGAUGGAGACUCUCCUGAGAAAUGACAAACUUGAUCACCAUGAUUCAAAUCGGAUGGUUUACAUGGAGGGGGAAAGAGAUGGCAGCAGGAAACAUUCAGAAAGCAUUGUUGAGGGUCAUAAAGUUGAGAGAGAUGGAAAAAGAAAAGGGAACACUUUAUACCUGAAGACCUUAAGGACAUGGGUGAUGUUUUCAAUACUAUUGCCAUUUGAAGAUAGGAGAUUCAGAAAGAGACAGAUUUGGUGAUAGCUGACUAAGAAGAUCUUUGAGAUUAGCAUUUGGAUUUCUGGCUUAUACAAAGAUGAUAAGCUCUUGGCAAGAAAUUGAACACCUCUAACAAGGACCAAUAUAAAGAAAUUUGCCUGGAGACUGGGGAAAUCGAGUUAAGAGGAAUAUAAAACUGAAUAAGGGCAGCACAACAAAGAGCAGCAGGUAGACCCAUAGGAGAAAAAAUAGGGGAUGGGACCAGUAAUUCACGGAAGGCAAUAUCCAAGGAAAAAACCUAAA